UUGGAACUGUAACAACACUACAGUACUAUUAUGUCCUCAUAAUUUUAUCGUUAUUAUACUGGAUAUAUGAUUUAAUCACUGUGUUUUGCGAGUAUCUAUGGUAAUACAGAUGAAAAAAUGUAUAACAAACUAGAGCAUUUUUAAUCCACCGUUUCCAUCAAUUUGCUUUCGUUCAAUAUACUGAUACGGCCAAAAUGGAAUAAAGGUAAAAACAAUAAAAAAAAAAAAAUAGCACGGAUAACACUAGGCGUGGGAAAACUAGUACAUAAAUUAUAAUUUUUUUUAGAUUUCU